rnacentral:lncRNA from 10 species
CCCCAAUGCUUUUCUGCACAGCACGAACAUUGAAUUAGUGAACAGUGAACCAUCGCUCAUGGAGGAAAGACCGCGUUAGGUUCCCGUGAGCCUCAGGACACAGCAUCACCCCAUCAAUAUACAACCUUGUUUUAUGUAUGUUUCUGUUUAAAGACACCUUACUUAGUAUAUAUUGUAGAGUAAGUAACAUGACCAACGGCACUGUAACUCAUGUCUGAAUGAAGCUUAUCUAAUGCGUGUUUUCUCCGAAAGGCACCUCACAGCCUUCUUGCUCUCAGGAACGCUAAGCAGCACUUCCGCACUGUGCUUGAGGCUAUUUUAAACAGUGAAAUCACCAACAAAAAGCAUAAAAAUGCGGCGAAAAAAGUGGCACUAAAUAAACUGUGAAUGUAGUCCCAGCUACAAGGGAGGCUGAGGGUUCAUGCCGG